rnacentral:lncRNA from 1 species
UCUGUCCAGAAAAGAAAUUAUCUAUAAUUAAUAUUGAUCAUGUGACUUAGCCCUUUUUUAUCAAAGGGCUCGUUUAUUCCUUGCAACAACUUGGCAUUAGAGAUAGGCCAGGCUGAAGACUCUACUUGUGAGUGGCCCCACUUGGGAGUCAAAUGAAGUCUCAGACUUCUCUACCCACCUAGGUUUCCUAGUGUCCACGUUAGUUAACGGCUAUGAAGGAUGGGAAACAGGGUGGAGCCCCUCUCAUUUCAGACAAGAGCGGCCCCAAGGCGUUGCCUGCGGCUGCCUCAAAGGUAAGGGCCACACCUCCUCCAGACCAGAACACCUCCCAGCAAGGCCCUGUCUUCCCUUCUCCAGAUGCCUCAUGCCACCCACUAUGGAAUGAAGCAGAAUGACACGAGUGUGCCUCAGCCACUGCUUUUUCUGGGUGACUGAUGGGCAGAGCGACCUUGGACUCAUUUCCCCCUCUGAGGCCCUUUCUCUCAAAUAAGGCCCUUUAUUUGGUUCUAGGGAAGACCCGACUGUGGGGGUCUGGGGUCCACUGGCUGAAGGAGGAACAGAGAGCACAGCCACAUAUCUGACCAGAGCCCCUCUCUCUGUACAGGCACCUCCUCUGUGCCCAGAGAUGAGUAUGGCCGUGGCAGGGCUCACACAGGGCCAGGGGCCCAGCCUGCAGGGCCGCAGGCUCAGUAUGCACCACCAGCCACCGCGGCACCAACACCACAGCCACGCCCACUUCAUCAAGCAACCGUCAAGCUCCUUAUCUAUCUGGCCACGGGAAAAGGUGACACAGCUCGGCUCCCUGUGCCCACAGGGCUGGACUCAGGCCCAGAGGGAUCGAAUACCCAGCCACACCUUCUCCCAGAACCAUGGGUGGCUACUGACCUCACGCUUGUGUAUCUGGCUCCCAGAACUGUGCAAGCCUGCUCUAGGACACAGCAACAUCUUUUCUAAAUGAAAGUUUGCUGCCCGAAUGGCCCCUUUUCCCUGCAUCUCCACCCCAGGAUAAGAAUUUAAAGCCCUCCUUCCUGAGGCUUUCAACGUGGGACUCUUGGCUCCUGGCUGAACAGCCAGCCUGCGGCAUGUCCCCAUCACCCUUGAACGUCACAGGGCCCGCAGUGAAUGUAGGCUAGACCCUGAUAGCAGGGAAGGAGUCUGAUCCCUUGGCGCCAGGCUCUCAGGCACAGCUGAAGAGACUCGGGCUGCCAGCGAGGACCACAGCAGCUUCUCCUUCAAUCUCUGGCCAUGAGCCCGGGCCAGGUGACAGGGAAGGGGAGGGUAGGGCCAAGGAGAAAGGGGGCCGCCAGUGGCCAGCGAUGCUUCUGUGCCCAAGAUGGUCGUAGGAUGUGGCCCCAAUAGUCUAGGACCCUCUCUGGCCGUUCCUUUCCUCUGGAAAUUUCUGUCCCUCCACUCCACACCAAGAUAUUCCCCCCCAGCCCCACCCUCAACACACCAACUUCACUUUGCACAACCAGCAGAUUCCUGAAAGGAGGCCAGGAAAUUGGGUUUUGGGAAAUCAUACCCUGUUCCGAAUGCCCAGUGGGGAAUGCUAUGUUGAAAUACGUCUUCCGUAAAUCCUUUCAUGGAGUAACACCCCUGCUGCCAGCCCCGCACACAGGUCAGAGGGGUUUCCCUAGGGUGCUCCUCUAGUUCCUAAAUUAAGGAGCUUUUCCCCAUCAGGCUCCCCUGGGUUGGAGGUUCAGGCCAGGCUGGGGGGCUCCUCCAUCUCAGAGAACAUAAAGGACAAAUAACGAGCCAUUCGCCCUUUGCCGGCAGGACCUCAGGCCCCGCAGCGCUGUGAGUCACAGGCGAUGAGUCACCGUGCAUUGUUUGUGCUGGUGAUCCUGGGAGGAAGGAGCCAGACUGCAGAAGUUGACUUUUCUCCUCUUGCUCUGGGUCUGUGAGGAUCCGUGUGUGCGUGCCUGCGUGGAUGUGUGUGCGUGCCUGCGUGGACGUGUGUGCCUCAACCCCUCUGAGUGCAUGUAGGGCAGCACGUACCUGGAAAAUUGCAAUUUCCCAACACAUUUGGGGUAAGAAUGUGCCUUAAAGCUAGCAGGGAUGUGAGCUCUACGGGCAUAGGCUUCUGGAACCACCCCUUAGUGGUACAGGGGGGAUAUGGGACCCAUCCCUGCGACACUGCCCCCACCCUCCUUCUGGGAAUUGCCCUCUGCCCAUCAGGUGUCAGCCUUGUCCAAACAGGCGUCCUCAGCUCUUGCCCCACCGACACCAUUGACAAAGCCAGGAGUGGGCUCAGGACUCAAGAAAUGGGAAUGGAGACUAAGAUUCCAGCUCCGGUCCCACGGGCUCCCUGACCAGAACCCUAGCUUCUGGCUGUGUUCCCCAGCCUGUAGUCUGGAAAGCAGAGAAAGCAGGCUGCUGGAGAGUAGAAAGCAGAUGUCCAGAGGAGCCGAGAUGGCGGAGCCUUUCUGAGACAUGCUGCCUUUUGGUGCCUCUGCCCCGCACAUGCUAUUUCCCUGGGCCAAUGCCUGGUGCCUACCCAUACUGUGUCCUCACCCUACAAAACCAGCUCAGAGUCCCCUCCUCAGUGAGGCCUUUCCCAAGUCCCCCAAGCAGGGUACCCCCUCCCCACUCUGGGACCUCCCUUCUCUUCCUACUGCAGUUUUGUCCUCCCCACCCCAACUGCACUCCUUAAAGGCAAGGCAUGUGGCUCAUUUAUCUUUGGACACCUCACUACUUUGCACAUAAUAGGGGCUCCAUAAACACUCCCAGGCUGAUGUUCCAAGGCAAGUGUUGACCUUGAUUCUCUUGGCUCCCUCAAGUGAGUGAAAAGAGUGGGGUUUAACCUUGGUGUCUUCUGCUUCUAGGAAGCUGAAUUCUCCUUGGCUUACAGUGUUGAGAGCAGCCAGUUUCCUUCAAAUGCCUGCCCCCACCCUACCCUGGGGAAACCGAGG